rnacentral:rRNA from 1 species
UACAGAGGUCCCGAGCGUUGUUCGGAUUCAUUGGGCGUAAAGGGUGCGUAGGUGGCGCCGUCAGUGGGGUGUGAAAUUUCGGAGCUUAACUCCGAAGCCGCAUUCCAUACUGCGGUGCUUGAGGACUGGAGAGGAGACUGGAAUUUACGGUGUAGCAGUGAAAUGCGUAGAGAUCGUAAGGAAGACCAGUGGCGAAGGCGGGUCUCUGGACAGUUCCUGACACUGAGGCACGAAGGCCAGGGGAG